AGAAAGGUGUGUUCAGGUGGUCCAGGCUGCAGUGCAGAUUGGCAUGGCAGUCGAGAAUGAAGUUAGGAUUCAUAAUUUCAUGGAGAAAACAAAGAAGCACCAAAAACAUAUGACUGGAGCUCAAGGUCAAGAAGAUAUGAGUAGGGAGACAAUGAUUCUAAGGAAGCGUGUCAAAAGCUUGAUUAAAAGGAACAGAGUAGUUGAGGUGAGAAAGCUUAUGCAAAG
rnacentral:misc_RNA from 1 species